CUGUUGGAAUUAGAGCUGUCUGAAGUAGAGCUGUUAUAAAAAGCUGUUUGCUGUUUGGUAACUACAUUCGUAAAGUGUUGUGGUACUUUGUUUUGUGUUUGGUAAACAAACUGAGAAAGUAUUUUUGUAUGACAAAAUUACCAUAAAGGACAUUGCAUAGUAUUAUAUAACAGAACAUAAUAAAACAUAACAUAAAUUAAUACAUAAAUAUAUGAUAUAGUAUAAUAUUAUUGUAAUAUAAAAUAAUAUUAUGUUGAUAUAGCAUAAUAGUGAUAUAAUUAUUAGAGUAAAUUAAUAUUUG
rnacentral:lncRNA from 1 species